AGUUCCCUGCUUUGCGCGUGAUGGUUUCGGAGGCUCGUUUGGGCCAACGUUUAACCUAAGAGAAUCGCAACGCCGCGUGGUGCGCAUGCCUCGGUACGAGGAAGCCUAAAGCGCGGCUCCCGAGCGGUUCCACCUGCUUACGCAGGUCCAAUCGACCUCCCCACACGGCAAAGCGGGGCCUUU
rnacentral:other from 1 species